AGUGAACGCUGGCGGCAGGCCUAACACAUGCAAGUCGGGCGGCAGCGCGGGGGCAACCCUGGCGGCGAGCGGCGGACGGGUGAGGAAUUCGUCGGAAUCUGCCUUUUUGUGGGGGAUAACGUAGGGAAACUUACGCUAAUACCGCAUACGUCCUACGGGAGAAAGUGGGGGACCGCAAGGCCUCACGCAGAAAGAUGAGCCGACGACCGAUUAGCUAGUUGGUGGGGUAAAGGCCCACCAAGGCGACGAUCGGUAGCUGGUCUGAGAGGAUGAUCAGCCACACUGGGACUGGGAAACGGCCCAGACUCCUACGGGAGGCAGCAGGGGGGAAUAUUGGACAAUGGGCGCAAGCCUGAUCCAGCCAUGCCGCGUGUGUGAAGAAGGCCUUCGGGUUGUAAAGCACUUUUGUCCGGAAAGAAAUCCCUGGAGCUAAUACCUUCGGGGGAUGACGGUACCGGAAGAAUAAGCACCGGCUAACUUCGUG
rnacentral:rRNA from 1 species